rnacentral:rRNA from 1 species
UACGGGGGGGGCAAGCGUUGUUCGGAAUUACUGGGCGUAAAGGGCUCGUAGGCGGCCAAACUAAGUCAGACGUGAAAUCCCCAGGCUCAACCUGGGAACUGCGUCUGAUACUGGAUGGCUUGAAUCCGGGAGAGGGAUGCAGAAUUCCGAGGUGUAGCGGUGAAAUGCGUAGAUAUCUGGAGGAAUACCGGUGGCGAAGGCGCAUCCUGGACCGGCAUUGACGCUGAGGAGGCGAAAGCCAGGGGGAGCAAACGGG